GGUACUUUGAAUACAAAUGCAAAGGAGAGAGGAAAGAAGUAUAGAUAGGUAGGGCAUGACGUCUUUUUCUCCCCCAUUUUCCCCUUCACCCUUCCCCAGAAGCAGACUUCUUCUUCCUCAGAAGAUGGACCUGAAGAAACACAAGUAAGGGUUUGGACAUUCUAUCAUUCUGUGGCUGAACUCAGAACUCAGAAGUACAAAAGGAGAAGAUCACAAGAAAUGGAAAUGAAUAUUGGUCCCUGAGGAGAGGCACCAAGAAGUACUAGGAGUGUGUAAACACAGAAUUGUUAAUACUAGGGAGAAGAAAAAUACAAUUCGAGAGAGUCUG